GAUGAAGAACGUAGCGAAAUGCGAUAAGUAAUGCGAAUUGCAGAAUUUCCGUGAGUCAUCGAAUCUUUGAACGCACAUUGCGCCCACUGGUAUUCCGGUGGGCAUGCCUGUUCGAGCGUCAUUAUCCUCCCUCAAAACUCCUGUUUUGGUGUUGGGCCGCGUUGGUCACCUCCGACCAACGGGCCUUAAAGACAAUGACGGCGUCCGUGGGACCCUCUUCGCAGUGAGCUUUUGUUAGCGCGCGUUGAGUUUAAAGGACCUUCCGGGCCGGCCACCUUUUAUCUAUUUUACAAGGUUGACCUCGGAUCAGGUAGGAAUACCCGCUGAACUUAAGCAUAUCAAUAAGAGGAGGA
rnacentral:misc_RNA from 1 species